rnacentral:misc_RNA from 1 species
GAUGAAGAACGUAGCAAAAUGCGAUAAGUAAUGUGAAUUGCAGAAUUCAGUGAAUCAUCGAAUCUUUGAACGCACAUUGCGCCCGCCAGUAUUCUGGCGGGCAUGCCUGUUCGAGCGUCAUUUCAACCCUCAAGCACAGCUUGGUGUUGGGACUCGCGUUAAUUCGCGUUCCCCAAAUUGAUUGGCGGUCACGUCGAGCUUCCAUAGCGUAGUAGUAAAACCCUCGUUACUGGUAAUCGUCGCGGCCACGCCGUUAAACCCCAACUUCUGAAUGUUGACCUCGGAUCAGGUAGGAAUACCCGCUGAACUUAAGCAUAUCAUAAGCGGAGGA